AGUGAACGCUGGCGGUAGGCCUAACACAUGCAAGUCGAACGGCAGCACAGUAAGAGCUUGCUCUUACGGGUGGCGAGUGGCGGACGGGUGAGGAAUACAUCGGAAUCUACUUUUUCGUGGGGGAUAACGUAGGGAAACUUACGCUAAUACCGCAUACGACCUACGGGUGAAAGCAGGGGAGCUUCGGACCUUGCGCGAUUGAAUGAGCCGAUGUCGGAUUAGCUAGUUGGCGGGGUAAGGGCCCACCAAGGCGACGAUCCGUAGCUGGUCUGAGAGGAUGAUCAGCCACACUGGAACUGAGACACGGUCCAGACUCCUACGGGAGGCAGCAGUGGGGAAUAUUGGACAAUGGGCGCAAGCCUGAUCCAGCCAUACCGCGUGGGUGAAGAAGGCCUUCGGGUUGUAAAGCCCUUUUGUUGGGAAAGAAAAGCAGCAGGUUAAUACCCCGCUGUUCUGACGGUACCCAAAGAAUAAGCACCGGCUAACUUCGUG
rnacentral:rRNA from 1 species